UAAAAAGCAAAGAAAUUGAAAUUUCUCGCUCUGUGCUUCUUCGACACACGUUGCGUCGACGUGCACGCAAAUCUCAGCCACUCACUUGUAAGUACUUUCUUAUGGAUGCGGGAUAUACCAAUAGUCCAUGAUUCUUAGCACCAUAUCAAGGGAUUAGAUAUCAUCUAAAUGACCCCUCAAAAUUUCAAGGAGUUAUUUAAUCUUCGUCAUUCAAGUGCGCGAAAUGCAAUAAAAAGGGACAAGCAACAAAUUGAUCAACUUUUAGAGGUUCAAGACUUGGAGCUCUUAUCUAUUGUUGAUGAGGAGCUAACCAACCAAUGGAGAGAAAGAGUUCAAAACAAUGUCAUAGAUAAGGUUGCAACUAUUUAAGUUAUUGAGAAAUGGACAAGAUUUCGAGAUGCAUUAGCAAUGAGUAUGUUUGCUAACUACCAAGUUAGAAGAAACAUUGGUUAGGGGUAGUCUUUUCUUUUUUGAUGUGAUUUUCUGUUGAAGAAAGACUUUUUUAUGUACGUGAUGGACUUUUAUGUACUAGAUUGAAGAAAACUUUGUUUGAAAUAUUGUUUUUUUGAUAGCUUCCAUUUGUUUACAAAAGAAAUAUUUACAU